rnacentral:rRNA from 1 species
AUACGUAGGGGGCGAGCGUUGUCCGGAUUGAUUGGGCGUAAAGGGCGCGUAGGCGGCUGUGCAAGUCAGUAGUGGAAGUCCAUUUUUCAAGGAUGGAAGUGCUACAGAACCUGCGGAGCUUGAGUGCAGGAGAGGUUAUCGGAAUUCCCGGUGUAGCGGUGAAAGGCGUUGAGAGCAGUAGGAACACUAGUGGCGAAGGCGGGUCACUGGACUGCAGCUGACGCUGAGGCACAAAAGUGUGGGCAGCAAAAAGGAGUAGAUCCCCUAGUACUCCACGCUGUAAACGAUGAAUACUAGGUGUAGGUGGCAUCGACUCCCUCUGUGCCGCAGUUAACACAAUAAGUAUUCCGCCUGGGGAGUACGGCCGCAAGGUUGAAACUCAAAGGAAUUGGCGGGG